rfam:Pneumocystis murina mitochondrion, complete genome.
GUUACUAUAGCUUAGUGGUAAAGCGAAGUACUGUUAAUGCUUUAACAGAAGUUCGAUUCUUCUUAGUAACG